rnacentral:rRNA from 1 species
AGCGAGCGGCGGAUGGGUGAGUAACACGUGGGGAACCUGGCCCCAUAGUCUAGGAUACCACUUGGAAACAGGUGCUAAUACCGGAUAAGAAAGCAGAAUCGCAUGAUCAGCUUUUAAAAGGCGGCGUAAGCUGUCGCUAUGGGAUGGCCCCGCGGUGCAUUAGCUAGUUGGUAAGGUAAAGGCUUACCAAGGCGAUGAUGCAUAGCCGAGUUGAGAGACUGAUCGGCCACAUUGGGACUGAGACACGGCCCAAACUCCUACGGGAGGCAGCAGUAGGGAAUCUUCCACAAUGGACGCAAGUCUGAUGGAGCAACGCCGCGUGAGUGAAGAAGGUUUUCGGAUCGUAAAGCUCUGUUGUUGGUGAAGAAGGAUAGAGGUAGUAACUGGCCUUUAUUUGACGGUAAUCAACCAGAAAGUCACGGCUAACUACGUGCCAGCAGCCGCGGUAAUACGUAGGUGGCAAGCGUUGUCCGGAUUUAUUGGGCGUAAAGCGAGCGCAGGCGGAAGAAUAAGUCUGAUGUGAAAGCCCUCGGCUUAACCGAGGAACUGCAUCGGAAACUGUUUUUCUUGAGUGCAGAAGAGGAGAGUGGAACUCCAUGUGUAGCGGUGGAAUGCGUAGAUAUAUGGAAGAACACCAGUGGCGAAGGCGGCUCUCUGGUCUGCAACUGACGCUGAGGCUCGAAAGCAUGGGUAGCGAACAGG